UGGGGAAUAUUGCACAAUGGGCGCAAGCCUGAUGCAGCCAUGCCGCGUGUAUGAAGAAGGCCUUCGGGUUGUAAAGUACUUUCAGCGGGGAGGAAGGGAGUAAAGUUAAUACCUUUGCUCAUUGACGUUACCCGCAGAAGAAGCACCGGCUAACUCCGUGCCAGCAGCCGCGGUAAUACGGAGGGUGCAAGCGUUAAUCGGAAUUACUGGGCGUAAAGCGCACGCAGGCGGUUUGUUAAGUCAGAUGUGAAAUCCCCGGGCUCAACCUGGGAACUGCAGCUGAUACUGGCAAGCUUGAGUCUCGUAGAGGGGGGUAGAAUUCCAGGUGUAGCGGUGAAAUGCGUAGAGAUCUGGAGGAAUACCGGUGGCGAAGGCGGCCCCCUGGACGAAGACUGACGCUCAGGUGCGAAGGCGUGGGGAGCAAACAGG
rnacentral:rRNA from 1 species